CCUCACUUCAUGCCAGGAGCCCCGGUAAUACGGAGGGUGCAGGCGUUAUCCGGAUUUAUUGUCUUUAAAGGGUCCGUAGGCGGAUGCGUAAGUCAGUGGUGAAAUCUCACAGCUCAACUGUGAAACUGCCAUUGAUACUGCGUGUCUUGAGUGAGGUUGAAGUAACUGGAAUAAAAUUUGUAGCGGUGAAAUGCAUAGAUAUUACUUAGAACACCAAUUGCGAAGGCAGGUUACUAACUCUCAACUGACGCUGAUGGACGAAAGCGUGGGGAGCGAACAGGAUUAGAUACCCUGGCUUUUUUUUCUGUAAACGAUGCUUACUCGCUAUUGGGGAUUUAUCUUCUGAGACUAAGCGAAAGUGAUAAGUUAGCCACCUGGGCAGUACGAACGCAAGUUUGAAACUCAAAG
rnacentral:rRNA from 1 species